ACCUGGAAUAAUGAGAGCAGAUCUAUUAAUGUGGUGAAGAAACAGUAGGGGAGAAUACACGGAAGAGUGAAGUGAGUCAUCCUCUUCACAAGGUGGUUUCGCUUAUGAGUUCGCCUUCUCAGUCUCUACCUGUAUGCCUUCUGGAGUAAGAAUGCUUCAUGAUACAAAAUCCACUUCAGGAAGAACAAUUCAGAGCUGGAAGUCUCAGGUCUGAGUUUCUGGGUGGCAGAUAUACAUUUUUUGAAUAGCAUCCCAUCAAAUCCUGCUGCUGCUGCUGCUGCUGCUGCUAAGUCACUUCAGUUGCGUCCGACUCUGUAUGACCCUAUAGACAGCAGCCCACCAGGCUCCCCCGUCCCUGGGAUUCUCCAGGCAAGAACACUGGAGUGGGUU
rnacentral:lncRNA from 1 species